rnacentral:rRNA from 1 species
GAUGAACGCUGGCGGCGUGCUUAACACAUGCAAGUCGAACGGAAAGGCCCAAGCUUGCUUGGGUCCUCGAGUGGCGAACGGGUGAGUAACACGUGGGUGAUCUGCCCUGCACUUCGGGAUAAGCCUGGGAAACUGGGUCUAAUACCGGAUAGGACGAUGGUUUGGAUGCCAUUGUGGAAAGUUUUUUCGGUGUGGGAUGAGCUCGCGGCCUAUCAGCUUGUUGGUGGGGUAAUGGCCUACCAAGGCGUCGACGGGUAGCCGGCCUGAGAGGGUGUACGGCCACAUUGGGACUGAGAUACGGCCCAGACUCCUACGGGAGGCAGCAGGGGGGAAUAUUGCACAAUGGGCGCAAGCCUGAUGCAGCGACGCCGCGUGGGGGAUGACGGCCUUCGGGUUGUAAACUCCUUUCGCUAGGGACGAAGCGUUUUUGUGACGGUACCUGGAGAAGAAGCACCGGCUAACUACGUG